UCCUAGUAUUCAAACAUUUCUUCCUCCACAAGAAAUCUCCCGGCCAGCCUAUUCUCAAAAGCUGGCCUGUCCUCGGGAUGCUUCCAGGAAUGCUCCCCCAUAUCCCUCGUAUCUUCGACUGGACGUUCGAGGUUCUUGAGGCCACCAACCUAACUUUCUUUUUCAAAGGGCCAUGGUUUAGUGGAACGGACAUGCUAUUCACGGCGGACCCAAGAAAUAUCCAUCACAUACUAAGCUUAAACUUUGGGAAUUACCCCAAAGGACCAGAGUUCAAGAAGAUCUUCGAUGUUUUGGGAGACGGAAUCUUAAGUGCUGAUCUGGAGCUGUGGGAGGAUCUGAGGAAGUCAAAUCACGCCAUCUUUCAUCAUCCAGAUUUCUUGAAGCUCUCAGCAAGUAGCAAUACAAUCAAGUUAAAGGAAGGUCUUGUUCCUUUUCUUGAUAAUGCUGCUCAUGAAAACAUUGUCAUAGACUUACAAGAUGUAUUCAAGAGAUUCAUGUUUGAUACUUCUUCGAUUUCGUUGACUGGUUACGACCCAAUGUCACUAUCCACCGAGAUGCCCGAAGUUGAGUACGGUGAAGCUACGGAAACGGGUGAAGAAGCGAUCUAUUAUAGACAUUUCAAACCGGUCAUCUUGUGGAGGCUUCAAAACUGGUUGGGUAUUGGACUCGAGAGGAAGAUGAAGUCUUCCUUGGUGACUGUCAACCGUAUGUUUGCGAAGAUCAUAUCCACAAGAAGAGAGGAGAUAAGUCGCGGCGAAGGCGAGCAAUUAAUGGACGCGCUAACGUAUUAUAUAAAUGUGGACACGACAAAAUAUAAGCUCUUGAAACCUAGUAAUGAUACGUUUAUACGAGACGUUGCUUUCAGUUUAUUGUUGGCAGGAAGGGACACGACAAGUUCAGUUCUCACUUGGUUCUUCUGGCUUCUUUCUAAGCAUCCUCAUGUACUGACCAAAAUCCGACAAGAGAUCAACACAAAGUUUGAUCCGACAUAUCUAGAGAAGCUCGUGUAUCUACAUGCUGCGUUGUACGAAACAAUGAGACUUUACCCACCGGUUCCCUUCAACCACAAGUCUCCUUUAAAGUCCGAUGUGCUUCCAAGCGGGCACAAAGUUAAAGCAGAAUCAAAGAUUGUGAUAUGUAUCUACGCAUUGGGUAGAAUGAGAUCUGUAUGGGGAGAAGACGCAUUGGAUUUUAAACCGGAGAGAUGGAUUUCAGAAAGUGGAGAGCUAAAACAUGAACCUUCAUACAAGUUCAUGGCUUUUAAUGCUGGUCCAAGAGCUUGCUUGGGUAAACAUUUGGCUCUCCAGCAGAUGAAAAUAGUAGCUGUAGAGCUCAUACAAAACUAUGACUUUAAGUUCACUGAAGGUCACAAGAUUGAAGCAGUGCCUUCUAUCGUUCUCCGUAUCAAAAAUGGUCUUAGUGUCACAGUCACUAAGAAGAUGUGAUUCUUAUUGAUAAUUGGAUUACAAGUAUUUAUGUGUUUGUUCGGCGCAAAUGUCAUCUAAAGUAUUAUUUAUAGUUGUGUUAUUUGUAUUAUUUAUAAGUGUGUCUCUUUUUCUAUUACUAUGUUUGUUCCCCGCAAAUAUCAUUUUAAAAUAUUAAAUUAAAUAUAAAAUUUAUAAUUGAUAUUGCCAAAGUUCAGUACAUAUUUUACUUUGGUUUCUGUCCAGAUUAGAGCAACAUUAUCGUUAACUCUUAGCAUGUUUCUUACCAUUAAUAACCCAAAUAAUAAAUCUAAAUAGCUUAAAAACGCGGAUGAAGUUUGUUAAUUAAGAAGUUUUCAUACCGCGUUCUUAAGGGCACGUGCCAUCCAGCAAUAGAAAGAGGGAAGGGGUCGGGUAACUCACGCGUUGGUCUCGAAAAAAAAUUCAUUGUUUCCCUAUUCUCUCUUCACGGCGAUCUCUCGGCGAUUUGAACCAAGACCGCAUACCGAUCUGUUCUCGCUCACUCCACACCGUUCUUUCCUGUCAUCCAAGCUUCUCCGCCGAUUCAUUACCAAACCAGGUAUGUGUUCUUUCUCUUUCCUCCGUUAAGAGUAAAUCGUCAUUGUCGAUCUAUCUCGAACAUAUCUGGGUUUGGUUGCUAUUUUUUGUAAUGAAAUGAUUGGCGAUUGUGAUUGCAUGCUUGGUUAGAGUAAAUAAAACAAGAUUUAGAUUGCUGAUUGUGAAUGCCCAAAAAAAUGGAUUCUUAAUAAGUUUAUGCGUAAUUGAGUAAUAUAUAGUUGGUUUGUAUAACAAGUGUUGCGGUUUUAGUUGAAUGCCAAGAAAAAAAAAAUUGAGAAUCAUAAUUACUUCAAUCUGAGUCUUGUGGUUGUGAUUCUUGAAUUCGACUGUUCUUUUAUGCUUAAUUGAGUAAUAUGUAGUUGUUUGUAUAACAAGGGUUGCUGUUUCUGUUGAAUGCCGAGAUGCCUACGGUUCUUUUCAAUACAAUUGAUAGUCGAGCAAGAGUUCGGGAUAGACCAGUUCAUCGACAACUAAAACACGAUUUGAUUGAAAAUAUAUGAGAUAAAUUUGAGAAUCAAAAUUAACGUAUAAUGUUUAAGUUUCUAUGAAUUGAAGUUUGCUUUUAUUUAUAAUUUUCUAUGUUUUAUGUUUUAGUUGUAAAUUUUUUUUCAACUUUGUCUAAUAACUAAUGUUUCUAUUAAAAUGUUAUAUGUUUUAUUUGAAAUACAUCUUUAUAUGUUAUUACUUGUUUUAAAAAAAAAAUUUCCUAAGAGACAAGAAAAGUUUCUACCAAUAAUCUACACAUUUACACAUGUCUCUUAACUUUGUCUCUUAAUCCUCAAGAUUAAUAAAAUAUGCUAAGAACCUAAAUUUAAGAAGUUUGCAAUAAUGUUGCUCUUAGCUUUUAGUCUUGAACUAGAGAAUAAACAUUAAAAGAAUAAUAAAAAUGAAAAAGAAAAGAACGAAGACGACAAAAUUAUCAGAAGAAAGUAUAUAUUAUUUAUUGUUCAUUUUCAAAUUUGAUGAUGAAUAUAAUGAAUUAUAUUUUGAUCUCAUGCUUUCAAAAUGCGAAAUUAUUUUUUUAUAACAAAAAUAUAUAUAAUAGAAAUUAUAAUUAAUUUACAAAUUUUUUUUUAUUUUUUCGUAUAGCUUAUGUUUAAUUUACAUAUAUAACUUCUUUUCGUUAUUUCAAAUUUGGAUUUUGAAAAAAACAUUUAUAUCCACAGUCUGCGAAUAUUUUACUAAUUUAAAUACCUAAAUUUUGAUUAGAAAUAGUUGAUUCAAAGUGUUUUUUUUAAUUAUUUUACAGAUGUAGUUUUUAUUUUUGGCAGGCAAACGACUAUUCUAUUACUCAAACUUGAGGUGGUGUGGAAAGCCAGACCGGAAUAGAACAACCAAUAAAACAUAAAGGUCUAUGAAAAGAACGUGCAUUCCUAGCUAGCGAAUCUGCAAUCUCAUUCUGCGUCCUUGGAAAGUAGCUGAUCUCGAAGUCCGAAAAACACAACCGAAGAGUUUGAAUUGUUUCCAGCUCAGUUGAGAAGUUGGACCAAGCUUGUGGCUGUUCUAUCAUUACAAUCAGAUCCUUACAGUCCGUCCCAAACCUCUGACAGGUCGAAUGUUGUAGCAUACUCUCCGUUGCCCACUGUAGCGCUUCUAGUUCUGAAUGUAAAGCAGUCUCCCUCCUCCUCAGGUUCCUUGAUCUCAUGAGUUGAAUCUUACCCAUUGUAUCCUUCCAAACCCAUCCCAUUCCACUAAACUGAGCUGUGGAGGUCCAUGAACCAUCCACCAUACAAAUAUUACCCAAGCUUAAGGCUUGUGUUUCUUCAGCAGUCUGUACAUGUGGCGGAACCGGCACAGUGUCUCUUGCAUUGUACCAAGCUUGGCACUCACUCUCUGCAUACCUGACUAGUUCCAAAGGAUCUCUGUCUAUGCCUCUAAACAACUUAUCGUUCCUAGCUUUCCAGAUGUACCAAAUUAUCCAAGGAUAAGGAUCUCUAUCAUCUUCUGGCUCCAGAAUACCAUUCUUUCUCCAAAAAAGUAGUCCAUGUUAGCAUAAAUACUUAGUACAUGGAAGAUUUGAGAGCUCGACGAUGUUGAUGAUAGUUCCCGUGCUUGUAAGGCCGGUGGACACUCAAAGAUAGCAUGAGUAGCGGUCUCUUCUGGCGCUCCACAUCUUGGACAAUAAUUAUCACAGCGCAUAUUACGGCGUUCCAGAUUCCUUGUUAUUGCUACCUGUCCUGAUAUUAGUUUCCAUAUAAGAUGACAGAUCUUUUGUGGCGCAUUCACCUUCCAAGCAAAGACUUGAAGUUUUGUAAUGCUGGGUUGUAGACCUUCUAUAUCCUCCUCUUCUCUCAUAAAGUUUGUAGCAACCCAAUAUCCUGACUUAACAGUAUAUUGUCUGUUCUUUGUGUAACUCCAGCAAAAAGUAUCUCGUCGAUGGGUAGGGCUUAUGGCCAAACUCAGAAUCAUCGGAAUAUCCUCUUGAGCUACAUAUUGUUCCAAUAAGCUAACAUCUCACUCCUUUGAAACAUGAUUUAUAAGACUGCUUACGGUCAUCUUUGGGUUUACUGCUGGGGCCCGGGCACGAGGCGGUCUAGCUGGCGUCGAAGGGAUCCAAAGAUCCUCCCACACAUUAAUUUAAUACUCUGAAUGCACUUUGCUUCUGAUGCCCAUAAAUAAUAGCUUCCUCGCGGCAAUAAUACUCGUCAAUACAUACGAUGGGGUAUCUGCUGUGCCAAAUCGCAACGGCGAACUCAGACGGUAAUAUCUUCCCCGAAGAACUCUCGCUACUAGUGAAUCCAUAAAUUGAACGAGACGCCAAAGCUGUUUAGCUAGAAGAGCUAGAUUAAAUUCAUGGAUCAUACGGAAACCAAUUCCUCCCUCCUCUCGAGGUGCACACAUUUUUUUUCCAUUUUUCCCAAUGGAUUCCUCUUUUCGGAGGAUUCGAGCUCCACCAGAAUUGUGCAAUGGCACUUGCUAGGUUCUCACAUAUCUCCAGUGGAAGCAGAAAGCUGGACAUGACAUAGGUCGGAAGGGCUAACAGUAUCGAUUUAAUUAAAACCUCCUUUCCUCCCUUAGAUAACCAUCUACCAGUCCAGCCAUUCACUCUGUGUAGGAACUUCUCCUUUAAGAAAGCAAAUAAUUUACACUUUGAUCCACUGAUGUCCUCUUGGAUUCCUAAGUAGGAUCCCAUCCCGCCUUCAUUUUGUAUACCAAGAGUAUCCUUAAUCUGCUGUCUAUCAUUCGCUGGAAUCCUUUUACCAAAGAGUAAUGAGGAUUUUUCAAAAUUAAUACGUUGACCUGAUGCUUUCUCAUAUUUCCUGACUACUUUCAUAACUUCUUCACAUUCACGGGGCUCCGCCUUACAGAAGAAAAGACUAUCAUCAGCAAAGAGAAGGUGAGAUACCGAGGGGCUAGCGCGAGUGACUCGCAUCCCCAUUAUCUUUCCUUGAUUCUCUGCUUGAUUAAGAAGGCUAACGAGCGCUUCCGUGCAUAGAAUAAAUAUGAAAGGAGACAAAGGAUCUCCUUAUCGUAAACCUCUCCCAGGGAUAAUGUUUCCCCUUGCUUCACCAUUCAUGAGGGCUUUAUACUUGACCGAGAUGAUGCAUCGCAUUAUCCAGUCAAUCCAUAUUUCUGAAAAACCCAUCUUUCUCAUGACUGCCUCAAUGAAUGACCACUCCAUCCUAUCCUAUGCUUUACUCAUAUCAGUUUUAUGGCCAUUCAUUUAACCCGUCCUCCCGGUUUAGUUCUCAAAGCAUGAAACAUCUCCUUAGCUAUCAUGAUAUUAUCCGUAAUUUGUCUACCAGCAACGAAGGCUGACUGGGUCUCUGAUAUCCGGUGUGGAAGAACCUUCUUCAAUCUUUGGCAUAAGACCUUAGAUAUUAUCUUGUAGCUGACAUUGCAUAGACUGAUAGGUCUAAACUUUGUCAUCUCAUUCGGCUUCGUUGUCUUAGGAAUUAAACAAAUGUUCGUGUCAUUCAAGCCCUGUGCCAUUGUUCCCUCGAAAAGAAAUUGAUUAACCAUACGAGUUAAAUCAUCUUUGACAAUAUCCCAAAACUUCUAAUAGAAGAGAGGUGUCAUUCCAUCCGAUCCUGGUGCUUUCUAUGGAUGCUUAGCAAACAGUGCUAAUUUGACCUCUCAUUCAGUUACUGGAGCAGUCAGGUCAUCAUUUAUUGCCCCAGUAAUCGUAGGUUAGAUCUCUGAUAGCGCAUCAGCUAUAUCCUCUGGGUUGGAAGACUCAAAUAUUUGUCGGAAGUAACUAGUAGCAAUGGCUACUAAUCAUUCCUCAUCCUCCACGACAUUCCCAUUUUCAUCUAAGAGUUGUGUUAUCCUAUUCCUAGCUCUUCUCUGCUUCACCAACGCAUGGAAAUAUUUUGAGUUCCUAUCACCUUCCCUUAACCAGAGAACCCUACUUUUCUGUCUCCAAAACAUCUCUUCUGCCUUAAGAGCAGUAGAUAAUUCCUUCAGAGCAUCUGCUAUUUCCUCAGAGGUAGCAUAUCAUCAUUCGAGUAUAGAUCCUCCACCUUCUCUUUAAGGUCCACUACUAACUUUGCGGAAUUCACAUUGUUUUGUCUCCUCCAUUGACUUAAAGCUUUUCUACAACUAGCAAUGUGUUCCAUUAUAUUCGCCUCAGGAGGAAAAUCCUCCGACAUCCAUCCUUCGAGGAUGAUUUGCCUUAGUUCCUCGUUAUCCAGCAAGCGUUUGUCAAAUUUAAAAUUCUUUUUCCUCCUCACUGGCUUUGUUAGAAUAUAUGCUAGGACCGGAUGAUGAUCCGAGCCCCAAAGCCUGAGAUACCUGACAACUGAAUGGGGAAAAUUUUCAUGCCAAUCCUCAUUCCCCACUGCUCUAUCCAAACGACAUCUAACAGUCGUCCCUCCUGAUCUUUUCCCUACCCAUGAUAGCAUAUUUCCAGUAAAUGGAAAUUCCAGCAUGCCACAGUCACUCAACAUUUGCUUGAAUGGUAAGAAGGAACUAUCAUGAAACUGUAGUUACCAUGAAGAGAAAAUAGUUUUUACAGCAUUUACAGCUAUAGUUACCAUGAAGAGAAAAUAGUUGCCACAGUCACUCAUCAUUCACUCAGCAUUUACUGCUGUAGUUACCAUGAAGAGAAAAUAGUAUUUGUUAUUUAUUAUUCAUUCUCAAAUUUGAUGAGAAAUAUAAUGAACAUGGUGGUAUUACCAUGAAGCCUUCCAGUAGAGUUUUUCAAAAGUUUGUCAUAUAUUCCUCGACGAUAUAGCAACGAAAAAAGGCAUUGGCCUCAGGCUCCGCAUUUUUCAUCAAAUUGUUUUUUUUUUCUAAAAUGUUUUCAUGUUAUUUUUUUGUCAUUUUUUCGACUUACAACAACUAGAAAUUAAAAAGAAACAAAAAAUUAAAAAUAGAACCACCAAGGUGAGCACCAGUUUACCAAAACUGGGAUUGGAUCUUGAAACCCUAAAUCCACCGUAGAGAGAACAAAAGUGAUGACGGCCACCGCCGAAUAGAAACCACCUGAACAUUCCUUCGAAUAAGCGGUAUGUCGACUGCAAAUCUUUUUCAUCAAAAUAGAAACCGCCAGAAUACAUUACUUUAUAUGCGUAAUACUAUUUUAUAUAAAUAUUUUCCUCUUUGAAAUUAAAAGAACGUGCAUUCCUAGCUAGCGAAUCUGCAAUCUCAUUCUGCGUCCUUGGAAAGUAGCUGAUCUCGAAGUCCGAAAAACACAACCGAAGAGUUUGAAUUGUUUCCAGCUCAGUUGAGAAGUUGGACCAAGCUUGUGGCUGUUCUAUCAUUACAAUCAGAUCCUUACAGUCCGUCCCAAACCUCUGACAGGUCGAAUGUUGUAGCAUACUCUCCGUUGCCCACUGUAGCGCUUCUAGUUCUGAAUGUAAAGCAGUCUCCCUCCUCCUCAGGUUCCUUGAUCUCAUGAGUUGAAUCUUACCCAUUGUAUCCUUCCAAACCCAUCCCAUUCCACUAAACUGAGCUGUGGAGGUCCAUGAACCAUCCACCAUACAAAUAUUACCCAAGCUUAAGGCUUGUGUUUCUUCAGCAGUCUGUACAUGUGGCGGAACCGGCACAGUGUCUCUUGCAUUGUACCAAGCUUGGCACUCACUCUCUGCAUACCUGACUAGUUCCAAAGGAUCUCUGUCUAUGCCUCUAAACAACUUAUCGUUCCUAGCUUUCCAGAUGUACCAAAUUAUCCAAGGAUAAGGAUCUCUAUCAUCUUCUGGCUCCAGAAUACCAUUCUUUCUCCAAAAAAGUAGUCCAUGUUAGCAUAAAUACUUAGUACAUGGAAGAUUUGAGAGCUCGACGAUGUUGAUGAUAGUUCCCGUGCUUGUAAGGCCGGUGGACACUCAAAGAUAGCAUGAGUAGCGGUCUCUUCUGGCGCUCCACAUCUUGGACAAUAAUUAUCACAGCGCAUAUUACGGCGUUCCAGAUUCCUUGUUAUUGCUACCUGUCCUGAUAUUAGUUUCCAUAUAAGAUGACAGAUCUUUUGUGGCGCAUUCACCUUCCAAGCAAAGACUUGAAGUUUUGUAAUGCUGGGUUGUAGACCUUCUAUAUCCUCCUCUUCUCUCAUAAAGUUUGUAGCAACCCAAUAUCCUGACUUAACAGUAUAUUGUCUGUUCUUUGUGUAACUCCAGCAAAAAGUAUCUCGUCGAUGGGUAGGGCUUAUGGCCAAACUCAGAAUCAUCGGAAUAUCCUCUUGAGCUACAUAUUGUUCCAAUAAGCUAACAUCUCACUCCUUUGAAACAUGAUUUAUAAGACUGCUUACGGUCAUCUUUGGGUUUACUGCUGGGGCCCGGGCACGAGGCGGUCUAGCUGGCGUCGAAGGGAUCCAAAGAUCCUCCCACACAUUAAUUUAAUACUCUGAAUGCACUUUGCUUCUGAUGCCCAUAAAUAAUAGCUUCCUCGCGGCAAUAAUACUCGUCAAUACAUACGAUGGGGUAUCUGCUGUGCCAAAUCGCAACGGCGAACUCAGACGGUAAUAUCUUCCCCGAAGAACUCUCGCUACUAGUGAAUCCAUAAAUUGAACGAGACGCCAAAGCUGUUUAGCUAGAAGAGCUAGAUUAAAUUCAUGGAUCAUACGGAAACCAAUUCCUCCCUCCUCUCGAGGUGCACACAUUUUUUUUCCAUUUUUCCCAAUGGAUUCCUCUUUUCGGAGGAUUCGAGCUCCACCAGAAUUGUGCAAUGGCACUUGCUAGGUUCUCACAUAUCUCCAGUGGAAGCAGAAAGCUGGACAUGACAUAGGUCGGAAGGGCUAACAGUAUCGAUUUAAUUAAAACCUCCUUUCCUCCCUUAGAUAACCAUCUACCAGUCCAGCCAUUCACUCUGUGUAGGAACUUCUCCUUUAAGAAAGCAAAUAAUUUACACUUUGAUCCACUGAUGUCCUCUUGGAUUCCUAAGUAGGAUCCCAUCCCGCCUUCAUUUUGUAUACCAAGAGUAUCCUUAAUCUGCUGUCUAUCAUUCGCUGGAAUCCUUUUACCAAAGAGUAAUGAGGAUUUUUCAAAAUUAAUACGUUGACCUGAUGCUUUCUCAUAUUUCCUGACUACUUUCAUAACUUCUUCACAUUCACGGGGCUCCGCCUUACAGAAGAAAAGACUAUCAUCAGCAAAGAGAAGGUGAGAUACCGAGGGGCUAGCGCGAGUGACUCGCAUCCCCAUUAUCUUUCCUUGAUUCUCUGCUUGAUUAAGAAGGCUAACGAGCGCUUCCGUGCAUAGAAUAAAUAUGAAAGGAGACAAAGGAUCUCCUUAUCGUAAACCUCUCCCAGGGAUAAUGUUUCCCCUUGCUUCACCAUUCAUGAGGGCUUUAUACUUGACCGAGAUGAUGCAUCGCAUUAUCCAGUCAAUCCAUAUUUCUGAAAAACCCAUCUUUCUCAUGACUGCCUCAAUGAAUGACCACUCCAUCCUAUCCUAUGCUUUACUCAUAUCAGUUUUAUGGCCAUUCAUUUAACCCGUCCUCCCGGUUUAGUUCUCAAAGCAUGAAACAUCUCCUUAGCUAUCAUGAUAUUAUCCGUAAUUUGUCUACCAGCAACGAAGGCUGACUGGGUCUCUGAUAUCCGGUGUGGAAGAACCUUCUUCAAUCUUUGGCAUAAGACCUUAGAUAUUAUCUUGUAGCUGACAUUGCAUAGACUGAUAGGUCUAAACUUUGUCAUCUCAUUCGGCUUCGUUGUCUUAGGAAUUAAACAAAUGUUCGUGUCAUUCAAGCCCUGUGCCAUUGUUCCCUCGAAAAGAAAUUGAUUAACCAUACGAGUUAAAUCAUCUUUGACAAUAUCCCAAAACUUCUAAUAGAAGAGAGGUGUCAUUCCAUCCGAUCCUGGUGCUUUCUAUGGAUGCUUAGCAAACAGUGCUAAUUUGACCUCUCAUUCAGUUACUGGAGCAGUCAGGUCAUCAUUUAUUGCCCCAGUAAUCGUAGGUUAGAUCUCUGAUAGCGCAUCAGCUAUAUCCUCUGGGUUGGAAGACUCAAAUAUUUGUCGGAAGUAACUAGUAGCAAUGGCUACUAAUCAUUCCUCAUCCUCCACGACAUUCCCAUUUUCAUCUAAGAGUUGUGUUAUCCUAUUCCUAGCUCUUCUCUGCUUCACCAACGCAUGGAAAUAUUUUGAGUUCCUAUCACCUUCCCUUAGCCAGAGAACCCUACUUUUCUGUCUCCAAAACAUCUCUUCUGCCUUAAGAGCAGUAGAUAAUUCCUUCAGAGCAUCUGCUAUUUCCUCAGAGGUAGCAUAUCAUCAUUCGAGUAUAGAUCCUCCACCUUCUCUUUAAGGUCCACUACUAACUUUGCGGAAUUCACAUUGUUUUGUCUCCUCCAUUGACUUAAAGCUUUUCUACAACUAGCAAUGUGUUCCAUUAUAUUCGCCUCAGGAGGAAAAUCCUCCGACAUCCAUCCUUCGAGGAUGAUUUGCCUUAGUUCCUCGUUAUCCAGCAAGCGUUUGUCAAAUUUAAAAUUCUUUUUCCUCCUCACUGGCUUUGUUAGAAUAUAUGCUAGGACCGGAUGAUGAUCCGAGCCCCAAAGCCUGAGAUACCUGACAACUGAAUGGGGAAAAUUUUCAUGCCAAUCCUCAUUCCCCACUGCUCUAUCCAAACGACAUCUAACAGUCGUCCCUCCUGAUCUUUUCCCUACCCAUGAUAGCAUAUUUCCAGUAAAUGGAAAUUCCAGCAUGCCACAGUCACUCAACAUUUGCUUGAAUGGUAAGAAGGAACUAUCAUGAAACUGUAGUUACCAUGAAGAGAAAAUAGUUUUUACAGCAUUUACAGCUAUAGUUACCAUGAAGAGAAAAUAGUUGCCACAGUCACUCAUCAUUCACUCAGCAUUUACUGCUGUAGUUACCAUGAAGAGAAAAUAGUAUUUGUUAUUUAUUAUUCAUUCUCAAAUUUGAUGAGAAAUAUAAUGAACAUGGUGGUAUUACCAUGAAGCCUUCCAGUAGAGUUUUUCAAAAGUUUGUCAUAUAUUCCUCGACGAUAUAGCAACGAAAAAAGGCAUUGGCCUCAGGCUCCGCAUUUUUCAUCAAAUUGUUUUUUUUUUCUAAAAUGUUUUCAUGUUAUUUUUUUGUCAUUUUUUCGACUUACAACAACUAGAAAUUAAAAAGAAACAAAAAAUUAAAAAUAGAACCACCAAGGUGAGCACCAGUUUACCAAAACUGGGAUUGGAUCUUGAAACCCUAAAUCCACCGUAGAGAGAACAAAAGUGAUGACGGCCACCGCCGAAUAGAAACCACCUGAACAUUCCUUCGAAUAAGCGGUAUGUCGACUGCAAAUCUUUUUCAUCAAAAUAGAAACCGCCAGAAUACAUUACUUUAUAUGCGUAAUACUAUUUUAUAUAAAUAUUUUCCUCUUUGAAAUUAUUUUAAUGUUUACAUCAUUUACUAAUUCAUUUUCUAUAUUCAUUUUAUACUUUAAACUAUUUCAGAUUAUAAAUUUACUACACAAUAUAGAUAUAGUAGGAAAUGAAAAUUAUAAGAAAUUUAUAUGUACAUUUAAAUAAUUCUAGUGGAUUUUUUUAUAAAACAGGAAAUGAUAUGAUAAAUUAAUUUUUUUAUUGUUAUAAUAUCUUCAUAAAUAACAAAAUACUGCAAUAUAUAUUUUAUAUAAAAAGUAUAUACUGUAUUUAUAACUUCAGUCAUUUUAUUUUUAUAUUAAAAGUUUGUUUUUCAAAAAUAGCCUUAGGCUGAAAGACGUCUGAGCACGGCACUGUCGACGACGCAACCAUAUAUAAGAGCAUCUCCAUUAGUUGAUACUCAAUGAGUAUCUAGAUAAUUAAGAAAAAGAAAAAAAUUAUAAAAAUUAGAAAAGACACUAAAAGUUUCUUAAAAAAGUACUUUUAAGAUACUUUUCUUAACUUAAAGUGCCAAGUGUCAAGUUAAGAUUUUUAUAAACAUUAAAAUUAAUUCAAUAACUAAAAUUUAUUAAAAUAUUAAUUUCUUUGAGUUUAGAAUGUUACUUAACAUACUGCACCAAUAAGGAUGCUCUAAACGACCUGAUGAGGUGAAGUGCUGGAAAUAAGACUCAGUCUUGAAGGUACAGGUUCCAUUCAUAAUGAUUUCAGAAAGGCUUUAGUUUCCAUGGUCAUAAAACGAGAGGAUAUCAAGGAACUUGGCUUUUGCACAUAGCAUUUCAGCAACUAUAAACCUUGCAUGUAGUCUAGGUUUUUAGAGAGGUUUUUAAAACCAGGAGGAUUUGAUACAUGGAAUAUUGAAGCCACAUCAUAUGAAAGAGAGAGAGAAAUCUAUUUGUCUAUACCUAUAUUAUCUCUGCAAACUGAUUUUCGAUCCAAGCUCUCACGUUAAAAUUUAGUUUGGUUAAAGUCUUUGUUACUUUAAUAAAUAAUUAAAUUUAUUAAUAAUAUUAUAUUAUUAAUUAUAAAUUAAUAUAAUAGUAAUUGGCCAAAAAAUAAAAAAUGAAUUUUAAAUUCAUUAGAUUAGAUAAUUGAUCAAAAAAACCAAAAACCAAAAAUGUUAUAAAUUAAAAGAUAAUUACUAUAUUUUUUGUAAUCCAAAAUAAGAUAUUUUAUUAAUAAAAUUAAAUAUUAAAAAAAACAGAAAGAUGCAUGAUUAAAUAUUCAUCAAGUAAAAAUUUUAAUAUUAUAUAAUACAACAAAGAAUAUUGAGUGCUUUUAAUUUUUUAUUAAUAAUGAAUGUAGCAUAUAAAGAAAUUUUUUUAAAUCUUUAUAAUAUGUGAUUGCUUUUUAAAAAAAUGCAAUAAUGAUUAUAUAUUUUGAUAUUUUUAGAUAUAAAUAAUAUGAUUUUUGUUUAAACUUUUUAAAAACAAAAAUAGAAUUAUGAUGAUAGUGUUUGAAUCAGUAAAGCAUAUAUUAAUAAGUAACUGUGAGAUAGUUAUGCUCGCAUAGAUGAAUAAAGUAGUUUGUUAUUCUUCUUGCUCUCUUAAAUAAGAGGUUCAAUCGUAGUACUUAAGGAUCGAAUCCACAAGGAGGUAGGGAACCUAAUAAAUCUAAUCAGAGUGAUUAAACUAGGUUGAUUAUGUUUAAAUGUAAAUAACAGCUUGUGAGCAAGGUAGUUGCUCGAUUGGUUUGAUUGGGUUUUUGGCACUUAAAUGAAAUAGUUAGGCUUAAGGUUUCUAUUCAGGUAAUCGGAUUAUAAUCCUACAUAUGCCUUUUGUAUGCAUGAUAUUAUAGAGCUCAAUCGCCUAUGAACAAACCGAUCGGCGUUUGCUUUCUAGGUUUGUCUAUUGACCAGAUAUAAGUGUCGAUCGAUGAUUCUAGAGGAAUAUCGAUCGAUACACCUUUUGCACCCUCGAUUAAUUAUUCGAUAGGAAUAUCGAUCGACGCGUUCUUAGUUAAGCUUUACGCGCGGGUUGAAUAAUGCUCACUAGGCUUACCAGAUCAGCUUUUGCCUUACUCUAACAAUCCUAGCUCAACUAGGACAGAUUCAGGGUGAGAUUCCAGUGUUAACUUGUGCCUACAACUCCUAGGUCAAGGUUCUAGCUAGCUAAACUAGAAACAUGCAUUAAUGACAAUCCUAAUGAUGAAUAUCACAACUUAGCAAUCUAUAGUUGGGCUAAUCCCUCAUAACCUAUUUGAACCCUAAAUCUAACAGUAGAACUACUCAGACAUAGCUAAGCAAUUCAUAACAACAAUAAGGUAUAAAAACUGCAUAGAUAUAUAGAUAAAUAAUAAUGGAGUUCCAAUCACAAAUCUUUUUGGAUCUUCUCUCCAAUUCUACUAAAAUCCUAGAAAACCUUUUGCUGUGAAAACUAGAAAACAAGAAAGCACACUUUGCCUAAAACACUUUGGCAAACUAUAAAUAUUAGGUUAAAAGCUCGUCAGGGGUAAUCUUGUAAAUUGGUGAAGUCUUGGACUCUAAGUCGGCUGGAACCAAACUGGAUUCUACGCGCUUCGCUGUCGAUCGAUGUCACAGGGUGUGCAUCGAUCGAUUAUUGUCUCUAAAUGUCGACCAUUAGUCUUGCUCGAUGGUCAGCUCACAUGAUCUCUCCAAUUAUCUCCAAAAUGCUCCAAAAUCAUCAAUUUCUUCCAAAUCACUCCCGAUCCUAUAAAUAUAGUAAAUAGACUCUAAAACAUAAUAAUUAAUUAUUAAAACAUUUAUAAACUAUGGUUAAAAGUGUGUAAAAUCCAUGGCCUAUCAAGUAGGGGUACAACAUGAGCAAGACUCCGAGAACCUACGAUAAAGAUAAUAGCUCCGGUUUGAAGGUUACAUAGUUGACUCUGUGAAGAACCGUAGAUGUUUGAGACGGAGUAAUGUGUUGGAGACAAAACAAUAAUGGAGUAGCUAGCAGAUCUGGCGAGUCCACACUCUUGCAUUGUAGUUCCGGCGACAAAGAUAAGGUUGGGUGGGCCGCAUAUACGACUCUGUGAAGAGUCGUCGAUGUUUGAGACGGCAUAGUGUAAUAGAGACGCAGCGGUGACAUAAUAGUGAUCAAAUCUAGCGAAUCCACAUUCUUGCACGGGAGAUACGACAAAGAGGAAAGGGGUGGGUAAAAAAGGGGAAGAGGUGAGGGAGCCGGUGAUGUCGAGAGGCGGAGUGGAAAUGGAGUGGUGGCGAAGACACAGCUCCCGUACAAUAAAUGUAUACGUUAGCUGAACUGGAUUUAAAUAGGGCUCUCAUAAGCCAGAAUAUGGGCUUGGUCCAACCAAACACAAUCACAAGCAAAGGCCAUAGCUAUAUCGGAGCUUCCAGAUCUGUAGACAGUAGAAGAAGCGCGCAUGUCAACGUUUACGCCGGUGGUGGGGAAGUUGCGGUGACCAACAGGAGGUGGUCCGACGAAUGGAGUUGGGCCACGGUGGACGGUCGGAGCAGUUAGCGGGAGUGAUAAAUUUGGUUUUGGAGCUUUAACAGUCCUAACUGAGGAAGAAAAACGGUGACGAAUGCGGUGGGUGGAGAUGGCAUUUCGGGAGCGCAGUGGGCGCUAGCAAAAACGGCGCCUUGGAUUCCGUGCCUGAGAGAAAUUCAAAAAUAGGGUAAACCAACAGGCAUGCUUUUAUCUUAAAAUAUUGCUAUUGAGCCUCUAAUACGGAUUGGAAAUAAAACAGAAAAGCUGCGUAUUGUUCUAUCUUUACUUGACUCACUUGGUAUUGGAUUUGCAUGUGACCGCACCUGUAUUACAUGAUGCACAGAUUAAGCGAUGAUUCUUCCGUUUCUAUUUUAAACUGUCCACCUAACCAAAUUUGAAAAUAUUUAUUUAAUAUUAAAUUCUAUUCAAAAUAAUUAUGCAAUACAUAAAUAUAUAUAAUAUAUAAACUAUUAUAUUUCACAAAUAUGAAAUAUAUAAUUGGAAAAAAAAGAAAUAUAUAAUUGAAAUAUAGAUUAACAAUUUGAUCCGGUCCGGAUCAUGUAACACUCAGUUUAAGACAAAACAAUAAAUGAGUUUGAGGGGUUUGGUCCAAUCCGGUCAGUUGAGCUAGAUCAGUCGGGAACCAUUUCCAACCAACUUUCUGCAUUUAAUUGAAUCUAGGUUAGUAUAUACUCCAUCCGUUUCGUAAAAAUAGAUUUUUAGUGUUUUCACACGUAUUAAGAAAACACAUUCAAUUACUAUAAUAAAUGUAUCGUUUUCUGUAACUUUCAAUUUUCAAUAAUUUUUAACCAAUAAUAAUUCAAUAAAGUCAAUUAAUUUUCUUGAAGAUUACAAUUUUUUCAUAGAAAAUACAAAAAAUCUAUCUUUUUGAAAUAAUUUUUUUUUCUAAAAUAUCUAACUUAACGAAAUGGAGAGUGUAGCAAACAACUUAACGAAGAUUAUUAUAACAAUAGUGUUUCUAGAAAUGGCGAUGAUAGGCUUAAUUCAAGUCUUCGUAGCAUUCAUUUUUUUCCUUGUAUUCAACUGUUCAUUCCUCCACAAGAAAUCCCACGGCCAACCCGUUCUCAAGAACUGGCCUUUCCUCAUAUCUUCGACUGGACCUUCGAAGUUUUUGAGGCCAGCAAUCUAACUUUUUCUUUCAAAGGGCCAUGACCAGAUGGUAAUCCUAUUUCUAGUUGGUUUAAGAGAAGAAAAUAUAUUUCUUACGGGUUUAUAUAUAUAAUAAACCAAAUACAUUUAAAAUAGGCCAAUAUGGUCGUGGCUAACUUUUUUUGAGCCAAUCAUAAACCAAGUUGGUUGUCCUUACACUUUUUAAGUUGAUAAAGACCUUUUUCGACCAACAAUUUAUUUGGGCUCGUUCCACUUCAACUCUUGUCUGGCCAUUGUUCUUCUAGACCCAUUUGGUAGAUGAAAAUGCACUAUUUUCAACUUUGGAUCUUCAACUUCCAUUUCUAAUUCUUGACCAUUUCGGCUAGACUAGUUUAUCUCCAGAUCAUGCCUGCUUAUGCAUUUCAUUUCUAGUUCUUCCAUGUUUCUCUGGCUCAUUUCCUGAUCAAGGAGGUUGCUUAUUGGUCGUCCAUGCUUGUCCAAAGUCAGUCCAUGCUUGAUAAAGGCGCGGUACCAGUGCCCAUACCUUUUUCUCGGUUCAAUGCUUCGCGGAUCAAGUUUAUUAGCUUUCCAUAAAGUACAUUAGGACAUGCCUUGACCCAUUGUCUAGUUGGUUUUUCCAUGAUCUUCAGACCUUUGAAGUUGAGCCUUAUCCAAGUAGCACUAAAUCACAAGUCACCUAUCAAAUAAAAAUCUGACACAUGACAUUUGUUUUACAAAUUUAAGAAAAAAGUAAAAACAAAAGAAUUUAAAAGGCAACAAUCUGUUUCGUGAGUUUUGCUGAUUUAUCAUUUAACUGCUUUUAUUUUUUUUGUAAAUUAAAAAUCCCUAAUGUUUCUCAUACCUACACCCAUGAUCUCAUACUUACGAUUUUGGAACGGUUAAUAUUUCUUUUUAGUUAAAGAUUUAACUCACAAUACUAGUAACAUAAUCCAACUCUACUUGCUUUCAGAAACUUUGAUUCCUAAAUUCUUUGUAACAGUCCCUAAUUCUCUCUAAAGAGCGUAUUAAUACUAUUGACUCUACAAUACUUGAUCCAUAUUGACAUACUCUCUGGAGAAACGGUGGCAACAAUAGUCUUAGAAGAAAAAAAAAUCUGUAGUGGACAGGUGGUUGUGCGUACUCCAAAGUUUGCUGAUGAAUGUCAGGUUGGUAACUUUAAAAUGCUGAAACUCUUUAUGUUCAAUCAUAAAUUUCUUUUUUUCUUAAACUUUUUACUCUUCUAAUUUACAUAUAGCAUUUUCUUUUUUUCACUUUUAUAGAAAUAGGCAAAAGCUACAUCUGACAUGGUGAAAUAAAUAAACGUUAACAAAACAAGUCCAUCAACUUUUCAAAAUUGAUUAAAAAGUUCUCAAUUUGCUUAUUUUGAAUGGUGAUGAUAAAAAGUUCUGGCUUUUUAGUUUAUAUAGCUUACACAAUCGAAAUAGCUCAGAAUGUUUGUGGUUAAUUAAAUAAUAGAUGUGUGUUAAUGGGUUGUUUAUGUAUAUUCAUCUCUUUCAGAUAAAUCAAAUUAUAUUAUACAAGUUAUAUAAAGCUGAAAUUUGGUAUUUUUGUAACAAAACAAUAUUUCCAUGCGUAGCAUGGGGCCAAAACUAGUAUAUUAUAAGCUUAAUAUGUUUCUUUUGAUUUAUUCUAGAUUUAAAUUUUGGGAAGCCAGAUAGAUUUUCAUGUUGAUUCACUUAAAAAUAGAAAUUGCGUUAUUGUUAGAUAAAAUUCUAUCGAUAUGACUAGAUUUAUAAUAAUUGUUAUUUAAUCAUUUAUUAUAUUAAAUUAAUUCUUAGUUUGUUAUAAAAAUUAGGUUAAAUAAUUUUUUUCUUGAAAUUAUUUUUUGAAAUUAAAAUAUUUUUUGAAAACAAUUUAAAUAACUUUAUAAAUAAAAGUAUUAUUGUGUCUUAUGUUUUAAAAAGUUAAGACAUUAAUGGGGUAUUUUCCACAUUUAUUUCCAAUUUUAGACAAAUGUUGUACUAUUGUUUCACAACUGUUACUAUAAAAACUGCAUAGAUAUAUAGAUAAAUAAUAAUGGAGUUCCAAUCACAAAUCUUUUUGGAUCUUCUCUCCAAUUCUACUAAAAUCCUAGAAAACCUUUUGCUGUGAAAACUAGAAAACAAGAAAGCACACUUUGCCUAAAACACUUUGGCAAACUAUAAAUAUUAGGUUAAAAGCUCGUCAGGGGUAAUCUUGUAAAUUGGUGAAGUCUUGGACUCUAAGUCGGCUGGAACCAAACUGGAUUCUACGCGCUUCGCUGUCGAUCGAUGUCACAGGGUGUGCAUCGAUCGAUUAUUGUCUCUAAAUGUCGACCAUUAGUCUUGCUCGAUGGUCAGCUCACAUGAUCUCUCCAAUUAUCUCCAAAAUGCUCCAAAAUCAUCAAUUUCUUCCAAAUCACUCCCGAUCCUAUAAAUAUAGUAAAUAGACUCUAAAACAUAAUAAUUAAUUAUUAAAACAUUUAUAAACUAUGGUUAAAAGUGUGUAAAAUCCAUGGCCUAUCAAGUAGGGGUACAACAUGAGCAAGACUCCGAGAACCUACGAUAAAGAUAAUAGCUCCGGUUUGAAGGUUACAUAGUUGACUCUGUGAAGAACCGUAGAUGUUUGAGACGGAGUAAUGUGUUGGAGACAAAACAAUAAUGGAGUAGCUAGCAGAUCUGGCGAGUCCACACUCUUGCAUUGUAGUUCCGGCGACAAAGAUAAGGUUGGGUGGGCCGCAUAUACGACUCUGUGAAGAGUCGUCGAUGUUUGAGACGGCAUAGUGUAAUAGAGACGCAGCGGUGACAUAAUAGUGAUCAAAUCUAGCGAAUCCACAUUCUUGCACGGGAGAUACGACAAAGAGGAAAGGGGUGGGUAAAAAAGGGGAAGAGGUGAGGGAGCCGGUGAUGUCGAGAGGCGGAGUGGAAAUGGAGUGGUGGCGAAGACACAGCUCCCGUACAAUAAAUGUAUACGUUAGCUGAACUGGAUUUAAAUAGGGCUCUCAUAAGCCAGAAUAUGGGCUUGGUCCAACCAAACACAAUCACAAGCAAAGGCCAUAGCUAUAUCGGAGCUUCCAGAUCUGUAGACAGUAGAAGAAGCGCGCAUGUCAACGUUUACGCCGGUGGUGGGGAAGUUGCGGUGACCAACAGGAGGUGGUCCGACGAAUGGAGUUGGGCCACGGUGGACGGUCGGAGCAGUUAGCGGGAGUGAUAAAUUUGGUUUUGGAGCUUUAACAGUCCUAACUGAGGAAGAAAAACGGUGACGAAUGCGGUGGGUGGAGAUGGCAUUUCGGGAGCGCAGUGGGCGCUAGCAAAAACGGCGCCUUGGAUUCCGUGCCUGAGAGAAAUUCAAAAAUAGGGUAAACCAACAGGCAUGCUUUUAUCUUAAAAUAUUGCUAUUGAGCCUCUAAUACGGAUUGGAAAUAAAACAGAAAAGCUGCGUAUUGUUCUAUCUUUACUUGACUCACUUGGUAUUGGAUUUGCAUGUGACCGCACCUGUAUUACAUGAUGCACAGAUUAAGCGAUGAUUCUUCCGUUUCUAUUUUAAACUGUCCACCUAACCAAAUUUGAAAAUAUUUAUUUAAUAUUAAAUUCUAUUCAAAAUAAUUAUGCAAUACAUAAAUAUAUAUAAUAUAUAAACUAUUAUAUUUCACAAAUAUGAAAUAUAUAAUUGGAAAAAAAAGAAAUAUAUAAUUGAAAUAUAGAUUAACAAUUUGAUCCGGUCCGGAUCAUGUAACACUCAGUUUAAGACAAAACAAUAAAUGAGUUUGAGGGGUUUGGUCCAAUCCGGUCAGUUGAGCUAGAUCAGUCGGGAACCAUUUCCAACCAACUUUCUGCAUUUAAUUGAAUCUAGGUUAGUAUAUACUCCAUCCGUUUCGUAAAAAUAGAUUUUUAGUGUUUUCACACGUAUUAAGAAAACACAUUCAAUUACUAUAAUAAAUGUAUCGUUUUCUGUAACUUUCAAUUUUCAAUAAUUUUUAACCAAUAAUAAUUCAAUAAAGUCAAUUAAUUUUCUUGAAGAUUACAAUUUUUUCAUAGAAAAUACAAAAAAUCUAUCUUUUUGAAAUAAUUUUUUUUUCUAAAAUAUCUAACUUAACGAAAUGGAGAGUGUAGCAAACAACUUAACGAAGAUUAUUAUAACAAUAGUGUUUCUAGAAAUGGCGAUGAUAGGCUUAAUUCAAGUCUUCGUAGCAUUCAUUUUUUUCCUUGUAUUCAACUGUUCAUUCCUCCACAAGAAAUCCCACGGCCAACCCGUUCUCAAGAACUGGCCUUUCCUCAUAUCUUCGACUGGACCUUCGAAGUUUUUGAGGCCAGCAAUCUAACUUUUUCUUUCAAAGGGCCAUGACCAGAUGGUAAUCCUAUUUCUAGUUGGUUUAAGAGAAGAAAAUAUAUUUCUUACGGGUUUAUAUAUAUAAUAAACCAAAUACAUUUAAAAUAGGCCAAUAUGGUCGUGGCUAACUUUUUUUGAGCCAAUCAUAAACCAAGUUGGUUGUCCUUACACUUUUUAAGUUGAUAAAGACCUUUUUCGACCAACAAUUUAUUUGGGCUCGUUCCACUUCAACUCUUGUCUGGCCAUUGUUCUUCUAGACCCAUUUGGUAGAUGAAAAUGCACUAUUUUCAACUUUGGAUCUUCAACUUCCAUUUCUAAUUCUUGACCAUUUCGGCUAGACUAGUUUAUCUCCAGAUCAUGCCUGCUUAUGCAUUUCAUUUCUAGUUCUUCCAUGUUUCUCUGGCUCAUUUCCUGAUCAAGGAGGUUGCUUAUUGGUCGUCCAUGCUUGUCCAAAGUCAGUCCAUGCUUGAUAAAGGCGCGGUACCAGUGCCCAUACCUUUUUCUCGGUUCAAUGCUUCGCGGAUCAAGUUUAUUAGCUUUCCAUAAAGUACAUUAGGACAUGCCUUGACCCAUUGUCUAGUUGGUUUUUCCAUGAUCUUCAGACCUUUGAAGUUGAGCCUUAUCCAAGUAGCACUAAAUCACAAGUCACCUAUCAAAUAAAAAUCUGACACAUGACAUUUGUUUUACAAAUUUAAGAAAAAAGUAAAAACAAAAGAAUUUAAAAGGCAACAAUCUGUUUCGUGAGUUUUGCUGAUUUAUCAUUUAACUGCUUUUAUUUUUUUUGUAAAUUAAAAAUCCCUAAUGUUUCUCAUACCUACACCCAUGAUCUCAUACUUACGAUUUUGGAACGGUUAAUAUUUCUUUUUAGUUAAAGAUUUAACUCACAAUACUAGUAACAUAAUCCAACUCUACUUGCUUUCAGAAACUUUGAUUCCUAAAUUCUUUGUAACAGUCCCUAAUUCUCUCUAAAGAGCGUAUUAAUACUAUUGACUCUACAAUACUUGAUCCAUAUUGACAUACUCUCUGGAGAAACGGUGGCAACAAUAGUCUUAGAAGAAAAAAAAAUCUGUAGUGGACAGGUGGUUGUGCGUACUCCAAAGUUUGCUGAUGAAUGUCAGGUUGGUAACUUUAAAAUGCUGAAACUCUUUAUGUUCAAUCAUAAAUUUCUUUUUUUCUUAAACUUUUUACUCUUCUAAUUUACAUAUAGCAUUUUCUUUUUUUCACUUUUAUAGAAAUAGGCAAAAGCUACAUCUGACAUGGUGAAAUAAAUAAACGUUAACAAAACAAGUCCAUCAACUUUUCAAAAUUGAUUAAAAAGUUCUCAAUUUGCUUAUUUUGAAUGGUGAUGAUAAAAAGUUCUGGCUUUUUAGUUUAUAUAGCUUACACAAUCGAAAUAGCUCAGAAUGUUUGUGGUUAAUUAAAUAAUAGAUGUGUGUUAAUGGGUUGUUUAUGUAUAUUCAUCUCUUUCAGAUAAAUCAAAUUAUAUUAUACAAGUUAUAUAAAGCUGAAAUUUGGUAUUUUUGUAACAAAACAAUAUUUCCAUGCGUAGCAUGGGGCCAAAACUAGUAUAUUAUAAGCUUAAUAUGUUUCUUUUGAUUUAUUCUAGAUUUAAAUUUUGGGAAGCCAGAUAGAUUUUCAUGUUGAUUCACUUAAAAAUAGAAAUUGCGUUAUUGUUAGAUAAAAUUCUAUCGAUAUGACUAGAUUUAUAAUAAUUGUUAUUUAAUCAUUUAUUAUAUUAAAUUAAUUCUUAGUUUGUUAUAAAAAUUAGGUUAAAUAAUUUUUUUCUUGAAAUUAUUUUUUGAAAUUAAAAUAUUUUUUGAAAACAAUUUAAAUAACUUUAUAAAUAAAAGUAUUAUUGUGUCUUAUGUUUUAAAAAGUUAAGACAUUAAUGGGGUAUUUUCCACAUUUAUUUCCAAUUUUAGACAAAUGUUGUACUAUUGUUUCACAACUGUUACUAACCUAGCCGAAAUAAAAGCUUCAAUUUAAUUAGAUAUACUGAUAGUACCGAUUAGUUAGCUAUGAAUUUUGAAUUAUACGUUAUGUUCAAGGCAAAAAUGUAAAUGAGUUUGAGUGGUUCGGUCCGAUCCCUGUCAGUUGAGUCAGGUCAGCCCGCCACAAUUUUCCCACCAACAUUCUCCAUUUAAUUGAAUACUAAGUAUUUUCCUGCACCAUGUGCAGUAAAGAAUUUUUUUAAAUCUAACUUAUAUUUAAAAAUAAAUAUUAUUAAAUAUUAUAGAUUUUAUUAUUUUCUUACUAAUAUUUAAUAUAGAUUUGAUAUAUAUUAAAUCAAUUUGUAUAAAACUAAUAAAAUGAUAUAACAUUGUAUAAUUAUCAAAAAUUUAGCCUAAACAAUAUUUAUAAAAUUUGUAGGUAUAUAAAAAACUAAUGAUCUUACGAUUAGAUACUUAAAUUUUUUAAAAAUUGUAGAAAUUUUUGAAAGCUUUAGUAAUACAAAUUGUAUAAUUAUACAAAAAUAAUAAUAUUUCGAAAUUUAAAAUGUUAUAUAUGAAUAUAUUUAUUUUAUAGAUGAUGUAUGAGCUAUUACCAUAUUUUAAAAAAGUUUACCAAAAAGAAAUAUCAAUAUUAAAUGUAAUAUAUGAAUUAUUACCAUAUUCUAAUAAGUUUGCCAAAAAUAUAAAUCAACAUUAAAUGAAAUUAUCCAUGUCAUAUUUUUCCGGAAGCCAUGUCAUCAAUUUCAGUAGCCAUGUCAUAUUUGUUUUGUGAAAUUGAUUGUAUAGAGGACAUGUGGCAAAAUCACUUCGCAAAUAUAGUCUAUGACAUUCUUCUAGCUUCUAAUCAUCUCCCCAAUAGAUCAUGCAGUUGUCGAUACAAACAUCUAUCAUCUCCGAAGGCAACCCAAGAAUAUAAACCAGUUUCUGAAUCUCAUAAUAAGAAUCAGCAUACACAUUGUCUUCCGGCAAAUACUCUUUAAACAAGUCCGCCCAUUCGUUCAUGCAACUUUCAGGUAGAUUGUGAUCAGUUUUAAUAUUCAUCAUUCUAGCAGCCAACGACAAUUUAGAGAGACCUUCUCUACAACCACUGUAAAGUAGUUGAUUCGCCGCAUUUAACAUUUCAUAGAACUUUUUUGCAUCUAUAUUAGGGUCUUCAUCUUCAUUAUGAGCUACGAAUUCAUCAGCUACCAUAUCAUGAACCCUAUCAUAAUCUACCAUCUCCUCCUGAUGGUAACUAUGUUCACUAUGCAAAUGAUGAUCAACCGAUUCUUUUUCCUGAAAAUUGCUAUUACUAGUACUAGCUUCAUUCUGAUCAUAAUUAAAACCUUCUUCAUGUUGAAACCAGAUAUAGUAAUUUGGCGUGAAACCUCUAUUUAUUAAAUGCUUCCAAACAUUUUCACGAUUUGCCAUUUUCGAAUUGUUGCAUUUCCGACAAGGACAAAACAUCUUACCACUUUCUUGGCCGAGCGGUGAAUCUGCUUGAUGCAUAAAUGUCUCCAGCCCCGCAAGGUAUUCUUUCGUCACUCUCCCAUUAGCAUCUCUAUGCAUAUACAUCCACUUCCGCAACUCGUAAAUAGUCCCGGAGCCAGUCAUAUUUUCACGUUUUUUGCUGUUGGUGUGUUUAAAAUGAUGUUCAAACAUCCACAUUUAUAGGAAAUUUUGAAUCUGGUAGUUGUAAUUUUCCUAUGAAUUUACGACGAAAAUUAAUUAGGUGAAAAAAAAACGUGUAACACCUACAAAGUUGGUGGAUUCAAAAUUUCCUCGCUAAAUACACAUAAAUUAUUUCCUCGUAAAUAACACGCAAAGUUUACGUCGUAUUUACGAGAAAAUAGUAUUUUCUCGUAAAAGACACGUCAAAUUACAUCGACUUUACGACGAAACGCUUUUGUCGUUACUUUAUGAGGAAAUAACGAUGACAUUAUUUUUCCACGUAAGUUCCUCGUAAAAUCGACAUAAAUUUACGAGAAUUGUUUUUCCUCGUUAACUUUCCUCGUUAAGCUUGUGUUUUCUUGUAGUGAUUUUACUAUUUUCUUACUAAUAUUUAAUAUAGAUUUGAUAUAUAUUAAAUCAAUUUGUUUAAAACUAAUAAAAUGAUAUAACAUUGUAUAAUUAUCAAAAAUUUAGCCUAAACAAUAUUUAUAAAAUUUGUAGGUAUAUAAAAAACUAAUGAUCUUACGAUUAGAUACUUAAAUUUUUUAAAAAUUGUAGAAAUUUUUGAAAGCUUUAGUAAUACAAAUUGUAUAAUUAUACAAAAAUAAUAAUAUUUCGAAAUUUAAAAUGUUAUAUAUGAAUAUAUUUAUUUUAUAGAUGAUGUAUGAACUAUUAUCUUAUUUAAAAAAAGUUUACCAAAAAGAAAUAUCAAUAUUAAAUGUAAUAUUUAUCAAUUAUUACCAUAUUUUAAUAAGUUUGCCAAAAAUAUAAAUCAACAUUAAAUGAAAUUAUCCAUGUCAUAUUUUUCCGGAAGCCAUGUCAUCAAUUUCAGUAGCCAUGUCAUAUUUGUUUUGUAAAAUUGAUUGUAUAGAGGACAUGUGGCAAAAUCACUUCGCAAAUAUAGUAUUGGGAUCGGCUAUAUAUAGGAAACCAACUAAACUAAGAUUUUUGUAUCCAUACUCAUAAAUACAUUUGUUUAAAAAUGGCGAUGAUAGGCUUACCUGAAGUUUUCGUAGCGUUCCUUUUUUUCCUUGUAUUCAAACAUUUCUUCCUCCACAAGAAAUCUCCCGGCCAGCCUAUUCUCAAAAACUGGCCUGUCCUCGGGAUGCUUCCAGGAAUGCUCCCCCAUAUCCCUCGUAUCUUCGACUGGACGUUCGAAGUUCUUGAGGCCUCCAACCUAACUUUUUUCUUCAAAGGCCCAUGGCUUAGUGGAACGGACAUGCUAUUCACUGCCGACCCAAGGAAUAUCCAUCACAUACUAAGCUUAAACUUUGGGAAUUACCCCAA
rnacentral:lncRNA from 1 species